rnacentral:rRNA from 1 species
GACGUAGGGCGCGAGCGUUGUCCGGAUUUAUUGGGCGUAAAGAGCUCGUAGGCGGCUUGUUGCGUCCGCUGUGAAAACUCGCAGCUCAACUGUGGGCUUGCAGCUGAUACGGGCAGGCUUGAGUUCGGUAGGGGAGACUGGAAUUCCUGGUGUAGCGGUGAAAUGCGCAGAUAUCAGGAGGAACACCGGUGGCGAAGGCGGGUCUCUGGGCCGAUACUGACGCUGAGGAGCGAAAGCGUGGGGAGCGAACAGG